AGGUGAUCCGGAGAGCCGGGCUUUCUCCUUCGUGCUUAAAUCAAGCCCAGUUGUAUUUCUUGCCUCUAGCUCAUCAGAAACAUUAUCACCUGUUCUUGAUCUCCAGCGCAGAGUUAGAAGGGACUCUUCAUUUCUUGUUUUAUCAAUCGCGACCAAAUCAGAAACUGACAGAGGCUUCUCAAUUUCUUUGCUGCUGCAGAUUGAGCAUCCAGUACGACGAGCGACUGGUGGUGUGCAAAGUUAGCGUGAUCCAUUUUGAUCUCGAGUACGGUUCGAGUCCCUUUGUGUAUCGGCUAAUUCAAUUAAUCUCUAUCUUGUAUGUAGCUUAAUUGUUGUCCUGUUUGCGAUCACACCACUGCUUCAAUUAAAAGUAAUUGCCACCAUUCUUUGCCUUCUUCUUUCUUUUGAUUCAAUAUUGGUACUUGUAUGGUUUGCUUUGGAAGUGGUGGAUGGUAGACAGAAGGCUCUUUAGUUGUGGCUGGUAUUUCUGAUUGGUCGACCAUAGUUGUUUUCAAAAGGAUAUAUGGGUUGUUCAAAGCAAGCUUUUUAGUUCUCUGUCAAAGAAGACAAGAAUAGCAUGACGUCCUGAGCUUCUCCCCUGCAGCUUAGCUUGUCUCUUUAUCUCGGCUGAACUUCAACAAUUGAUUGCUGCUUGCUGAUUUUUGAAUUGAAAUGACAUUUGCAGCAACCAACUUCCACGUUUGAAGCCUCUGGUGGGUUUUGUCAAUUCAAACCUCAUUUGCCUUGUCCAGAUCUUUCGUCUGUAGGAGGUACAUAGCAGCCAUCCUCUAUCCCGAAUGGAUAUAAAACUGCGAGAUUGAGCUGCUAGUAAUGGUAAUUGGAAUAAUAGGAAGAAAUUGCUUCUAGUAAUGGUAACAGGAAUGCACCUCUUAGUCAUAUGUAGAAACCGAAUCCUUUAUAGAAAUUACUGGUAUGCUUGAAGUAUGCCUCUUAUUGAACAAGCGGUUAAGUAGCUGAUCCAAUCCUAUAAUUUCCUGGACGCAGCAUUGCUUGGUUGCCCCAUGCUUGGAGGGGAAACUUGGCCUUGGUCUCUUUUGGCUGGAAAGUGUUCAUUUGUAUUGAAUAUUUGGUCUCCUUUCUUUGUUCAUCUAACUAUUCUUUGUUCAUCCAAUCCUAUAAUUUCCUGGACGCAGCAUUACUUACUUUUGAUCAGACAUUGUUGGUCUGUUUUUUGGUUU